CCAUGCGCUUUGUCGACAAACACAAAUUCCCGUGACGCUGCGUCGCAACAGCCAACCGGCUUUGAGAAUAUAUACAACGUCCUGGAGUUCUUCAACAUAGCAAUGGAGGAUCAAAUGAUCGUCGCUGUUUGAGGGCAUCCAGAACUUUUCGAUAACUCCUGCUAUCAAUUACCGGGACCGUACGAAAAAAAGAGCAAACCUGGAGACUGGGGAGCGUAUCUGCUGUAGGGCACGUUUGGAAUUUGUCAGCUUUGUCAAGUGUGGCCAGAGAGAAAGACAGAGGAUGCAGCAAUAGCCCACCAGCCCCCAGCGUGGACUGCUACCACGGCUGUGGCCUCCUGGAGCACGACACCACUACCCUAAACGGUUUGUUCACGACUGUGAAGGGUUAAAUGCACAGGACAAAUUAGUUGGUGUUUCCCAGCACCGUCACGCUGGCCAGUGGGGACUUCAGUUUGGCUCUUCUCUUAUCUACGAACAGCUUCACACUACAUGUUAGACUGCGAAACAAGAGGGAAUAAAACUCUGGGCCUCCCGUAUGCCAAUGUGAGGGGAGCGAUUCUUCGCCACGAGGCGUACACCUUGAGGCCACCGACAGACCGAUUGCUUGCGGAAUAGCAGGCGGCCAACGUAGGACGCUAACAGUUUGGGAAGACACAGGAGUUUGUUUUUAAAGAAAUGUAUUUUAAUUAGAAAAUAUUUUGAUUAUUGUUUAAAGUUGAAUACUAUGUACAGCUGUGUUUUUUUUCCCCCAAUAAAGUUGAGUUGAACUUUG